AUGUGUCAAGGCGCGGAGUCCAUGAGCAGCUAGCCUGUGGUUGGCGUCACCUGUGAACGACGCCAACUCAUGGAGAACGUACAGCAGAUGUUGCACGCGGUUCAUGUUACCGACAGUGAUUGCAGCAGCACAAGGGUUGAGCAAAUGUUCUGCCCAUCUUCCUUCUUUGUUGUUACUGUUAUUUCCGGUUGAUUUUGUUGUUACUCUCUUUGGUCUUCUUACUUGCACUCCUCCUUGAUCACCUAUAGUAUGAGCAUUUUCUGCCUCAUUAAUCUGACGGUUAUGAUUUUUCUUUGACGUCUUAGGAUUUUGAUCAGAUAUUUUCCUUUUCUUAGACAGAUCCACCGGCUGUGGCUGAUCCAAAAUGAUGGGCUCCAAAGGGAUAUUGCUAAUAGCUGUGUUGACUGGGGAGCUAAUGUUGAAUGAGUUACAAGUAUUGUCGAUGAUGAUGUUGUGAUUAACGAUCUGAUCAUCUUGAUC
rnacentral:lncRNA from 1 species